rnacentral:rRNA from 1 species
UACGUAGGGAGCAAGCGUUGUCCGGAAUUAUUGGGCGUAAAGAGCUCGUAGGCGGUCUGUCGCGUCGAUCGUGAAAACUUGGGGCUUAACCCUGAGCUUGCGGUCGAUACGGGCAUGACUGGAGUUCGGCAGGGGAGACUGGAAUUCCUGGUGUAGCGGUGAAAUGCGCAGAUAUCAGGAGGAACACCGGUGGCGAAGGCGGGUCUCUGGGCCGAUACUGACGCUGAGGAGCGAAAGCGUGGGGAGCGAACAGG